rnacentral:rRNA from 1 species
UGUUAAGUCAGAUGUGAAAUCCCCGGGCUCAACCUGGGAACUGCAUUUGAAACUGGCAGGCUUGAGUCUCGUAGAGGGGGGUAGAAUUCCAGGUGUAGCGGUGAAAUGCGUAGAGAUCUGGAGGAAUACCGGUGGCGAAGGCGGCCCCCUGGACGAAGACUGACGCUCAGGUGCGAAAGCGUGGGGAGCAAACAGGAUUAGAUACCCUGGUAGUCCACGCCGUAAACGAUGUCGACUUGGAGGUUGUGCCCUUGAGGCGUGGCUUCCGGAGCUAACGCGUUAAGUCGACCGCCUGGGGAGUACGGCCGCAAGGUUAAAACUCAAAUGAAUUGACGGGGGCCCGCACAAGCGGUGGAGCAUGUGGUUUAAUUCGAUGCAACGCGAAGAACCUUACCUGGUCUUGACAUCCAGAGAAUCCUGCAGAGAUGCGGGAGUGCCUUCGGGAACUCUGAGACAGGUGCUGCAUGGCUGUCGUCAGCUCGUGUUGUGAAAUGUUGGGUUAAGUCCCGCAACGAGCGCAACCC